rnacentral:rRNA from 1 species
AGAAUCAACGCUGGCGGCGCGCCUAACACAUGCAAGUCGCACGAGAAAGGGCUUCGGCCCUGAGUAAAGUGGCGCACGGGUGAGUAACACGUGAAUAAUCUACCUCUGAGUGGGGAAUAACUGAGAGAAAUCUUAGCUAAUACCGCAUAAUACUUACGAGUCAAAGCAGCAAUGCGCUUGGAGAGGAGUUCGCGGCCGAUUAGUUAGUUGGCGGGGUAAUGGCCCACCAAGACGAUGAUCGGUA